AACAUACAAUCAACAACAUAAAAAUAAAAAAGAGUAAUAAAAAAAUAAAACAAGUGUGUUUAGAGUGUAAACAAAUAAAGGAGUGGGAUUAAUACAUUACAAACUUUAAAAAAAGUGGAGACUUACAUUCCUUCAGAAGAGGAAAAGAGUCACAGACAGAGAGUCUCCUGGCCCUCGUCACACUUCCUGUGCUGUUCUUAAUGAAUUGAAAUGUGACCCCGGAGCACAGAACCAGUCAUAAAGGUCCAUUUUCAUGAAAUAGAUUUAUACAUAAUCUUGGCUGAGAUACAACUAUUUGAAAAUACAUAAAUGAAAAUCACCUUUAAAGAUACCACAAUGAAGCACUUAGCCAUGAAUAUUACAAAUUAAAAAUGUUUGAAAUAACUAUUAAAAAAAAGUUUUGAAAUAUUUAUUUUUUAAAUCGACAAAAUAUCUUCAAGUUAAUAUCCUAAUGAUUUCUGGGACAUUUUUACAAUGAAUUGUUGUCUAUUGCUAUAAAUAUUCCUGUGGGGGUCGUUUAUGUACUGUGAAAAGAAUCACAGAAACCCAAGCAGAGACGCUUCUGCAGCUUGAAGACUUGAUCAACCUCUUUCAGUUUAGAUAACAACUUGAUUUCUCUUCAUACUGGAGCUCAAAAACCACAGGACUGAUCUGAAGAUGAUAAUGAAACACAACCAACAUAAGAAGCCCAAAACAGCUCUCGAUCGGUUUGAUGAACAUGAAACGGUGCAAUGAACCACAGGAGCAGUUCUGAUCUUCACAUCUACAAACCAAUCCAUCAGUCUUCUACAAGUCACUGAAACCAAACACUUCUUCUCACCCGGAGUUCGGUGUUAUUUCGUGACAAUCGAGCACACAUCGUCACCCGAGGCUCACCUGGACAUUAGUUUUAUUAUUGUAGUUUCAUUUAUUAUUGUAGUUCUGCUUUACAAUAAAAAAUAGCUUUUUUUUUAUUAAAUCAAAAAGGGCAGUACAACAAAUACUACAAUGAUGUAGAAAUACUUUACAAUUUAAAUAAUUCCUUUUGACAUUACAGAUGAGAAUUUAAAGAGGAAUUUGAAGAAGAGGUAAUUCAUCAUGAAAGUAAUGUCACGACGCAAAAAAAAAAAAGAAAUCAUAAUGGUCCUAAAUACAAAAUAUAAUCUCAUUCUUUCGUUUGGGAGCGCAGCGCGGCCGGGCUGAAGACGCUGGUCUGUGGCGUGAUUCGGAGGAAGAUGAUCGAAGGAAGUGCUGGUGGGACGCUUCAAAACA